rnacentral:tRNA from 1 species
UCCCUGGUGGCUCAGAUGGUAAAGAAUCUGCCUGCAAUGCAGGAGACUCAGGUUCAAUCCCUGGAUUGGGAA